GCUACACAUGCAGUCGAGGGUAACAGGGAGCUUGCUCUGCUGACGACCGGCGCACGGGUGCGUAACGCGUAUACNAUCUGCCUUACACUAAGGGAUAGCCCAGAGAAAUUUGGAUUAAUACCUUAUAGUUUAUUANGAUGGCAUCAUUUUAAUAAUAAAGAUUACGGUGUAAGAUGAGUAUGCGUCCCAUUAGUUUGUUGGUAAGGUAACGGCUUACCAAGACUACGAUGGGUAGGGGCCCUGAGAGGGGGAUCCCCCACACUGGUACUGAGACACGGACCAGACUCCUACGGGAGGCAGCAGUGAGGAAUAUUGGACAAUGGGCGAGAGCCUGAUCCAGCCAUGCCGCGUGCNGGAAGACGGUCCUAUGGAUUGUAAACUGCUUUUAUACNGGAAGAAUAAGGACUACGUGUAG
rnacentral:rRNA from 1 species